AACGUGGGUAACCUGCCCAUCAGAGGGGGAUAACAUUCGGAAACGGAUGCUAAAACCGCAUAGGUCUUCGAACCGCAUGGUUUGAAGAGGAAAAGAGGCGCAAGCUUCUGCUGAUGGAUGGACCCGCGGUGCAUUAGCUAGUUGGUGAGGUAACGGCUCACCAAGGCCGUGAUGCAUAGCCGACCUGAGAGGGUGAUCGGCCACAUUGGGACUGAGACACGGCCCAA
rnacentral:rRNA from 1 species